rnacentral:rRNA from 1 species
AGACGUCCACAUUAGAUACCCGCGUAGUCCCAGCCGUAAACUAUGCGCGUUAGGUGUAUCGGUGACCACGAGUCACCGAGGUGCCGAAGGGAAACCGUGAAACGUGCCGCCUGGGAAGUACGGUCGCAAGGCUGAAACUUAAAGGAAUUGGCGGGGAGCACCACAACGGGUGGAGCCUGCGGUUUAAUUGGACUCAACGCCGGGAAGCUCACCGGAUAAGACAGCGGAAUGAUUGCCGGGCUGAAGACUCUGCAUGACUAGCUG